rnacentral:rRNA from 1 species
AUUCCAGCUCCAAUAGCGUGUAUUAAAGUUGUUGCGGUUAAAAAGCUCGUAGUUGGAUUUCUGUUGAGGAAGUCCGGUCCGCACUUUGUGCGUGAUCUGGUUCUGCCUCGGCAUCCUCGCGGGGAACGCGCUGCGCUUGAUUGCGUGGUGCGGUAUUCGCGACUUUUACUUUGAGGAAAUUAGAGUGUUCACGGCAGGCUAUCGCCUUGAAUACGUUAGCAUGGAAUAAUAAUAUAGGACCUUGGUUCUAUUUUGUUGGUUUCUAGAACUAAGGUAAUGAUUAAUAGGGAUAAUUGGGGGCAUUUGUAUUAACACGUCAGAGGUGAAAUUCUUGGAUUGUGUUACGACAAACUACUGCGAAAGCAUUUGCCAAGGAUGUUUUCAUUA